rnacentral:rRNA from 1 species
AUAGCGGGUGACAGCCCCGUAGUCGAAAGCGGACAGAGCCCUAGCGGAUACCCGAGUACCGCAGGACACGAGAAAUCCGGCGGGAAUCUGGGAGGACCAUCUUCCAAGGCUAAGUACUCCUGACUGACCGAUAGUGAACUAGUACCGCGAGGGAAAGGUGAAAAGAACCCCGGUUAGGGGAGUGAAAUAGUACCUGAAACCGUGUGCCUACAAGCAGUGGGAGCGCUAUGCCCGCAAGGGAAGGCGUCACCACGUACCUUUUGCAUAAUGGGCCUGCGAGUUACCGUACGUGGCAAGGUUAAGCCGAGAGGUGGAGCCGAAGGGAAACCGAGUCCUAACAGGGCGAAGAGUCGCGUGCGGUAGACCCGAAACCUUAGCGAUCUAUCCAUGUCCAGGUUGAAGAGCGGGUAACACCGCUUGGAGGACCGAACUCACCAUAGUUGAAAAUAUGGGGGAUGAGGUGUGGAUAGGAGUGAAAGGCUAAUCAAGCUGGGAUAUAGCUGGUUCUCCCCGAAAUAUAUUGAGGUAUAGCCUCGGACGAAUUGCGCCGGAG